GAUGAAGAACGUAGCGAAAUGCGAUAAGUAAUGUGAAUUGCAGAAUUCAGUGAAUCAUCGAAUCUUUGAACGCACAUUGCGCCCAUUAGUAUUCUAGUGGGCAUGCCUGUUCGAGCGUCAUUAAUUCCACUUAAGCCCUGCUUAGUGUUGGGAAUCUACUCUAGUGGUGCUACCCUGGAGCUACCCCUGAAAGGGGGCUGGCCCGGUAGCUACCCUGUAGUUCCUCAAAGAUAGUGCGCGGAGUUGCGUGGUCCUCUGAGCUUAGUAACUAUACACCUAGCUUUUGAGUGUCCCGCGGCACCUGCCGUUUAAACCCCAUCUUUUAAUGGUUGACCUCGGAUCAGGUAGGAAUACCCGCUGAACUUAAGCAUAUCAAUAAGCGGAGGA
rnacentral:misc_RNA from 1 species